rnacentral:sRNA from 1 species
CUGGGAUCCACAGAGUACUCCACCCCCAUUGAUAUGUGGGGCGUGGGCUGCAUCCACUACGAGAUGGCCACAGGGAGGCCCCUCUUCCCGGGCUCCACAGUCAAGGAGGAGCUGCACCUCAUCUUUCGCCUCCUCGGUCAGUCUCCCGCUGCUCCGUCCCUCUCACCACCAGGGGGCGCCGGAACUCCUCCAGCCCAGGCGCGGAGCGGGACGGGGAGGAGCGGCUCGGCCGCUUCUCUCCCGGGCGGGGACCCCCUGUGGCCUCGGCCAUCUUUGCUCCCACCUCAUACAUUGCAUCCCUUUCAAGUCGGCCUUGGCCCUGGGCCUCACGCAGGCCCUCCCCACCCUCUCUCGUCUCCCCAGGGACCCCCACAGAAGAGACGUGGCCCGGCGUGACCGCCUUCUCUGAGUUCCGCACCUACAGCUUCCCCUGCUACCUCCCGCAGCCGCUCAUCAACCACGCGCCCAGGUAGCCCCUGCGCCCGCCGCCCCUCCUGCUGCGGCCCUGGCUCUCCCAUCCCCAAUCAGGCACAGCCUGUGUCCGCGCCUUCUCCUU